ensembl:rRNA 5S_rRNA 5S ribosomal RNA
GCUUACGGCCCAUACCUCUCUGGCUCCGCCUGAUCUCGUCUGAUCUCAGAAAGCUAAGCAGAGUAGGGCCUGGUUAGUACUUGGAUGGAAGACCGCCUGGGAAUCCCAGGUGCCGUAAGCU